GUGUGAAGUUCUGCAAGAGGUUUCCCAGAACCUCCAAGUGUAAGGCAAGAGGAAAAAUCGUCAACAAAUCAGGCCACACUGUUCUGGUCCUGAUGUCGCGAGGCAAAGACUUCAUUCUGCAAAGGCUCAAGGGGAGACAGGAGGAGGCUGGUUACCGAGGUUGGAAAGCACCUAACUCCAAGAGCAAGGCCAGUAUUAACCCCUCUGCUGGGACUGCUGACCUGAGAUAACUCUAGCUAGAGACUCCAGAAAGCCAGAGAGCACGCCUGGAAAUGCAGCCUAUGAGUGCCUCACCUACAUUCCUCCUAGGAUCUUCCCAGGUCCCAUCCUGCUCCAGCCCCUGACUAUCAGUGACCUCCCAACCCCCUGCCCAGGGGAGAGGGGAAUUGGUCCCCAUCUUUCCAGUUAGAUGAAAAGUCCCUGCAAGGGGAAACAAAAUAAAGGUGAUUCCAAAUCACA